rnacentral:rRNA from 1 species
UAAUGGGUCAGCGACUUAUAUUCUGUAGCAAGGUUAACCGAAUAGGGGAGCCGAAGGGAAACCGAGUCUUAACUGGGCGUUAAGUUGCAGGGUAUAGACCCGAAACCCGGUGAUCUAGCCAUGGGCAGGUUGAAGGUUGGGUAACACUAACUGGAGGACCGAACCGACUAAUGUUGAAAAAUUAGCGGAUGACUUGUGGCUGGGGGUGAAAGGCCAAUCAAACCGGGAGAUAGCUGGUUCUCCCCGAAAGCUAUUUAGGUAGCGCCUCGUGAAUUCAUCUCCGGGGGUAGAGCACUGUUUCGGCAAGGGGGUCAUCCCGACUUACCAACCCGAUGCAAACUGCGAAUACCGGAGAAUGUUAUCACGGGAGACACACGGCGGGUGCUAACGUCCGUCGUGAAGAGGGAAACAACCCAGACCGCCAGCUAAGGUCCCAAAGUCAUGGUUAAGUGGGAAACGAUGUGGGAAGGCCCAGACAGCCAGGAUGUUGGCUUAGAAGCAGCCAUCAUUUAAAGAAAGCGUAAUAGCUCACUGGUCGAGUCGGCCUGCGCGGAAGAUGUAACGGGGCUAAACCAUGCACCGAAGCUGCGGCAGCGACACUAUGUGUUGUUGGGUAGGGGAGCGUUCUGUAAGCCUGUGAAGGUGGCCUGUGAGGGUUGCUGGAGGUAUCAGAAGUGCGAAUGCUGACAUAAGUAACGAUAAAGCGGGUGAAAAGCCCGCUCGCCGGAAGACCAAGGGUUCCUGUC